GGGGCAGGAAGCGGGGUGGGAUGAACACGGCUCUCCAGGUAAGGGAGAAACUGAGGCAAAUGCAGGAGCACUGGGACAGCUUCUCCUCCCACCCAGUGGUAAGGCAGUGGGACAAAGUGCUGGUCCGGGAGGCCAGAGACCUGGGUCUGACUCCUAGUCUGCCUCUGGUGCUGUGUGUCCCUGGGAAAGCCUCUUCCCCUCUCUGGGCCUUAAUCUCUCCACUUGGAAAAAUGAGAGGCUCAUCCAAGAUGACCUUGACCAUGUGUCUCAGACCUACAAAAUGGAAGCAACAGCCUCAACCAUGCCCCACCCCCCCACCCGGGGGGAGGGGUGCUGCACAGCCCUCAGCAACAGUAGACACUCAGUGAAUGCUCGGCUGGUGGCUUAGUCAUUACAGGAUUAUAACGUGAGAGUGUCUGUGCUCUCUAGCCACUUGGGUCUCAGACCUCCGUGCAAACUCCAAUCCUUUCCUCUGCGAGCACCCAGGAGAAUCAGACAUCAUUAUCCCUCCCUUACUUCUGUUAAAAAAAAAAAAACAAACCAAAAACCCAAAAGCAGUGAUAUGACUGAGCAACGUUCUCAGACCACUUGUGCCACUUCCUGGGGCAAGCCUCGCCAGCAAACAGAGGAGUAUUACUUAAUGCCACACGUGUCCGAGACCAGGGGCUCAGCAAAUCACCCUUGGGGCCCGAUUCGGCUCUGAGAUACGGAGUGAAAAUAUUUUGUCUGGAUACAGGAGGACCAAAAAAUAUACUCUGGGUUUUGAGCCUUAGAGCUGCGCUUCUCAGACUAUAAAGGAACCCCCUGGGAUCCUGUCAAUGCACAGAUUCUGGUUCAGUAGGCCUGGGUGGUGCCCAAGGGUGGCCUUCCACCUAAGUUCCCGGAUGCUGACGCUGCUGGUCCACGGACCACACUGUGAAGAGCAGGGACUUAAGGCUCUUUCUUUUUAAAAAAAAAUACGAAAGAAACAUGUAUUCGUCUCCUAAUAAGAAGCCCCAAGGUAGGGUGACCUCUGUGCUCUGCCAUCCCCACGGACCUCGCGCUGAACAAAGCUUUAGUUGCAAGCGUGUGUGAGAAACCAGCUUCUGUGACCUGCCGCGUCGGGCUUGUGGAGGCUCCCUACUCUCUUAGGGUCCCUGACCGCCACUGUGCCUGAAAGCGUCACUUAAGACACACACCAGGAUUCCCCAGCUGGAUCUGAACACGCAGGCAACCGGCACCGGGCAACAGAAUUCCAGAGACGAGACGUCACUCCUGGUCGCUCUCCUGCAUUCCCUCUGUCUGGUCCGUCAGCCAUUCUGCUGUCUCUCCAUCAGAAUGACUCCUGGGGCAGCCCUUCACCCCAGAAUCUCGGCUGCCCUUGCUGAGGCCACGUUUCCUCACGCCUGGCCGGUGGGGACGCCUCCUAAAGUCUGCCCAGGGGAAAUGCACCCUGCUGUCUUCCCCAGCUCAGCCGCCACGGUGGCUCAAAGCCCUGCCCGCUGGGCUCCUGCCCCCAGUGACCUUCUCCCGUGUGCUCUUUCCUCCCGUGUUCCUGCACAUGCUGUUGUCGUGAUUCCAUUCUUCUUCCUCCUCCCACCCUCCACUCCCCACGAGCCAGGGCUCCAACGGGAAGUUGGUGCCACUUUCCCUGGGUACCUUUUUAAUGUAAUUUUCUGUAAUUUUUCCAGCAAAAUUUUGCCCCAUGUGACGGUCUGGAGGUUGUUGGGAUUUCACCGGUCAUUCUCUGUUCCUCCUCCCUGCUUGCCGUCAGAAUAAACAUCGGAGGUCUUUGUGCCAAAACCCCUUGCCAGCUCAGGGAACAGAAGAAGCCGCACACACAGUAACAGGGGAGCCCGGGCAGAGAGGAGGUGGUGGGGAGAAUCUGAUGCGGAGCUACGGGGGCAGGGGGCUGCUCACGAGGCAGCCCAGGCGUUUGAUGGAGAGCACCCUGGGGUGCUGCAGGGGGUUGAAUGGUGACCCCAAAAGAUACAUCCACGCCCUGACACCUGGGGACGUGACCUUAUUUGGAAAAAGGAUCUUUGCAGAUAUAAUUACGUUAAAGAUCUCCAGAUGAGGACACCCUGUACAAUGUCCUUACAGGAGGCGAGGAGAGGAGAGCAAAGGGAGGAGAAAGCCACAGGACAAUGAAGGCAGAGACCAGAGAGAUACGGCCACAGGCGGAGGAACACUGGGAGCUAGCAGAAUCUGAAAGAGGCAAGAAGGAGUCUCCCCAACAGCCUUCAGAGGGAACAAGACCCUGCCUGACACCUUGCUUUCAGAAUUCGGGCCUCCAGAGCUGUGCGAGAAUACAUUUCUGCAGCUUCAAGCUGCCCAGUUUAUACCAGCUGCACCGCCCGGGUGGUGGGUGUACCUGAAUGAUCACCAAUGGGUCGUCCUUCAAGAUGGGGUCCUUCAAUAAAAUGGCAGCAAACACGUCUGCUCCUUCGCCUCCCAGGCCGUUGGCAAAAGCGGUCAUGGUUGGCAAGACGGCUCCAGGCAACUCCAGCCACUUCACCAGGCCCGCCACAAACUCCGUGCAGAAGGAGCUGUAAGACAGACAUGGCUUAGAUCCCAGGGCUCCCAGAACACGUCUCAUGAGGCCACGGGGAAGUUCGGGUGAGAUGCGUUCAUGGGUGUGAACAGCAGCUUGUACAAAAACCAUGGUGACCGUGACCCACGGAAGGAGACAGAGAGCCAGAAACUUAAUUUCAGGUGAUGUGGAUCUUAGCUUCUUCCCCCACCAGAACUUUCACCAAAGCAGCUGAUGAGCCACAGGAAGGAGGGUAAUGAGCAGUUACUGACCGGUGCCCUGCGCCCGGCCUGUGCCGGGGGAUUGAGGAAUCAGAGGAACAAGGCACCCCCGCCUCAGGGGAGAAGCUCACAGACAUGUACGUGACUCGCACACCCUCGUGCCCUGCCACAGGCCAGGCCAGAGGCAGGAAUGGAGCCCCGUGUGUCCAGAGAGGCAGUGCCCAGACCCACCUGCAGAGGUGAGGGGCAGCUGCUAGAAGCUGCUAGAAAAGGCAUCCUACAGGUGAUCUGAUUUGCUGCUGUCAGAAAUCACUGAGGACAUGCUUUCAGGAAAGAAGUCGGCCACUGCAGGAGCAGGCCUAAGAAAACAGAGAUCUCGUGGAAUGAACUGACAACUAGAUCGUAAACUUUCAGAAAGGAAAUACCCCAGGGCAAGUGCUUCUGGCCAGGCAAGAGCAUGUGUGCUUAAAGUGGUACCUGGAUGUGUGUGUGUUUGGGGGGCUGGGGGCACACAGGAUAACUCACUUCUCCAUGUGCCAUCCUAGGUGGUGCCCAGCACAGGCCUGGCACACAGUGCAGGCUCAUGAACAUUUGUGGGG